rnacentral:RNase_P_RNA from 16 species
GCGGAGGGGCGGAUGGCCGCGGGGUCUGGCAACAGGCCGCGAGGAAAGUCCGGACUCCACAAGGCAACGGUGCCGGGUAACGCCCGGCCGGGGCAACCCGAGGGAAAGCGCCACAGAGAACAGACUGCUCCGGCAUGCCGGAGUGAGGGUGAAACGGUGGGGUAAGAGCCCACCGGGGGGCUGGUAACAGUCCCCGCAUGGCAAGCCCCACCGGGAGCAAUGCCGAAUAGGGAUCGCGCGCGGGGCCGGUCGGGCAACCGAUACCGCCCGCAGGCCGCCUUGGCCCAGCAGAUCCGGGUUGGCAGCUAGAGGCCGCAUGGCAACAUGUGGCCAAGAUGAAUGGUCAUCUCGGGCAGCGUCUUUGGCGCUGUCUAUGACAGAAUCCGGCUUAUAGCCCCUCCGCGCAU